GAUACGCUAUCAGCCAACAGUAACAUAACCCUGGAAACGAACCUUUCAGUUUGUUAUUCAACACGCGGAACACAUGGUAAGAAGGAGGCUUGGCCAAGAUCUAGCAUCAGCAGAGGGCGUGGAAAAUGUAAGCUGUACUUAAUUUGUUUUCUUCUCCUGCUCUCCUUUCUUCUUCCCCCCCAAUAAAAUGAUCGUGUGGGGAAUUCUCCGAUUUUAACGCUUGAAAUCUAUGGAGUCUGUCUGGAAGUUUCUCCGUGAGGACCAGAGCAGCUGGGGUAGCAUGCCCCUGUCAGCCCCGUCCUGAAGACGUCUGGUUUCUUCAGACCCACUCGAGCAAUUCCAGGCUACACUGCACACCCUCGUCUGGCCUCUCCUUCUAUUGAUUUCUGGUUUGGGGGACGCCCAGGCCCUGAGGUGACAUUGGGACAGAUCAACAGAGCCUGUUCCUCUCACGGGGGAAGGUGGGGGACAUCCUAGGUGUUCUCCGGUUUCCAUUAGCGAUGCCCUUGGGCAUGCAUGAAGAUAUGUUGCAGGCACUUCCGGUGGAGAGUCUCCUGCUUGUUGGGGAUGAACUGGGUGACGGGUCACUGAAAUGAUGCACCCUCUUGGAAUGCUCACCAGAUCCAUGCCCCGCAGUAGGGGCAGCUGGAGAAGGGGCUCCCGCAUUUACAGAAGAGACACUUUGUUCCAAGUUCCGACUCUGGGACAGCGACAAACCCCCACAGCCAAAACACUCUGCAGCUGUGUCCUUUGGAGCAAGGAACGAGAGCUUCUCUGCUGACCUCACCUCACCCCAGAGGAGUGUCCUCUGCGUUCACCCAGGUUGGACUCAGGCAGGCGACAGACAUGUGCGGCACCAGCCAGGUCCCCCUGGUGGCCCUGCCCACGGCAGCACGCCAUCCAUCACGCCACAGUCAAGACGCCAGCCAGCAGCCAGGCCGCCACGACAAGCAAAACGAGGCGGGCACCGCUGGCUCCUGUCAAGGCCUCCCGUGCACCAGCAGCCUUCAUGUUAAUGGGAGAAGUUGACUGAGACGAUUUGACGCAGUUGCUGGAAACGAAACAGAGCAGGAGAAUGAUAAGCAAAGCUCUUACUUAAUUAAAAGCACAUUUAUACAAGGUUUGGCCUGGCAGGAAAAUGACAAAGGCAGUUAAAAUUUUAAAAUCAAGCCAUUUUCUCUUGAGAGAUUUCUGCCAGACCCUGGUGGAUUCAGGAUGCUGGGUUUUCUCUUCCAACAGAGCCUGAACAUCUGAGCCGGGGUGAGCCAAGUGUGAGCUCCCUGGCUGUUUUCAAAGAAGUGGAACUUUUUCCCCAAAGUGAUUCCCCUUUCUGGAGCCAAUGGCAAGAGCGAGGCAUGCUAGGCAUGGGCCUGGAUGUGGCCCCCUCCAGAAACACAAGGAUGGAUGUGGAAAGUACGGGGUGACUCUCUGUAGGAACAAGGGACCUUUGAUAUGCCUCCAUGAAAAUGGCUUCUUUGAGAAGACGGUCUUAAGAGUGGGUCACGGCAGCAGACGAAGGCACCAGGAAAGCCUGGGUGGAGAAAAGUGAAACGUUACAAGUUGAGAGCUGUCCUCCUCUCUUUGAAAAAAGAACUGUACGAAUCCUUUGUAAUUCCAGAAGGAAGACCUGGGGCCGAUGGGGAAAUUACAGAAGGGAGGAUUUCCAAUUAACAGAAGAACUUUCCAAGGAGUAUUGCUCAAAUAGGAAACCACAGGCAGUUCAGCCUGCCUCGGGAUGUGCUGGAAGAGACCACAGCCCGUGUCUUGGUGGUACUGAGGCGGGUGGGGGGGGGGCGGUGUCCCACACUGGGGGCAGGACCCGGGGACUAAGUAAACACCUGCCGUGUUCUAAAAAUUCUCGGAUUCCGCAUCAUUGCGUAACACUCUGUAGAAACAUGUAUUUAUUGCUCAGAAAUUUGGAAAACAAUUGUUCUUGGACAUUUUACUGUUUAUUUGUCAAAUCCAUUUCUGAAUGAGAAUCCAUUUGGUAAGGCAAAGGCAUUUGAACGCUCUCCGCUGGUCUAAGAACUUCAUAUUUCCUCAGUGAAUCAUUAUAAUCUGUGCACAUGGACAGAAUUCUCGCUCCUGGCGCCAAAAAGUACAUCAACCAAGGGACAGUGUUUCUUAAAUAAAAGUGGUGUUUCUAGUUGGCAAAACAUAGAUUAUUUUUGCUAUUAGAGAAAUUGAUUUCUUAAGACGUUGUGAUUAAUUAUGUCUGUAAAACAGAAAAUCCAUCAAAGACAAAAUAUUUUUCCCUUCAGAAAACACAAAUUCCUACCAUGUCACUGACCACAUAUGACAUUCUAUUUAUAGGCACCUUGUCUCCAAAGAUAUAUCUGGGCUCACUUUCUACUCUGUCUUCCCCAGGCUCUGGGGAGAUUGAUGACCUAUGUGACAAAACCAGGGGAACACUCGGUGCCAUUCUGCUGGUUCUUGAGAAUCGAAAUGAAAGUUCUACCCUGUGCCUGGUCUGUGGAGAGGAACCUUCUGAGGAAAACAAUAAAAGGUCUUGACCCACCCACCACGUGAAUCAAUUAUUUUUCUGGACAGCUUCCUGACGUUCCCAAGGAAACAGAGAAAAUGACAGGUAAUUAGGGGAAAGCAUGCCAACAAGCCCUCCACCCUAACAUGGCAGAAGGGUGCUCCCCACACCUAAUUUAUCAACGCUUGUUCUUUCCCACCCGAGCCAAGGACACGGGAUUGCUUGGCAAACGGGGGAGAGAAAGGUCAAGUCAUUCUGUGCCUUUUCUGGAAACGUAUUUUUGUUUGGGUCAAUCCCCCCAACAAAUUAUGGUCUUGUCCUACUGCUGCA